AACAAUUUCCAGCACUGCCUGAAGUCUGGUCCCGGAAGUUGUCAAAAAACGACUCAGACUAACUAGAUUUAUGCAGAAGGCAUUUCUUUCCACCCCAGCCUCUUACCUACUUUACCAUUGCAAUGACUUCUUCCAGAUUCUGAGAGAAACCCCAGGAUUGUUUUUUUAAAGGCAGAAACCACAGCCUAUCGUAAAAAGGAAAUACUUUUCUGAUAAAAAUUAGGGGAUUAGAUUUAAAGAGUUAAAGAGGCAGGUAAGGAGCAGGGUGAGAAUGGGGCCAUCAGAAGACCUUGCAGAACAUUGAACAAUCACAAUUUACGUGUGGAAGAGAACUCACUGUUUUAUUUCAGCUUCAUUACUGUAUACUAUAAAAGAAUGUAAUUGUGUUCAACCUGAAGGACCAUUUAAAAAGAAGUCAUUAAGAAGGAAAAGAUCUUUUUCAA
rnacentral:lncRNA from 1 species